AAAGGCUCUAGUGUUUAUUACUUUAGUUUGGGAAGGGGAGGUGCGCCACCCGGUGGCGAGUUCGAAUAGUACAUGCAGCAGCUGCAGAAGCACUGUAGCUCUGAGGGAGGAGACGUGCAGCUGCUGCUAACGGCUCCGGUUGGGGUCUAUGUGCGUUCCUGACUGAAUACCACACACACAUACCCAAUCGUACCAAUACCCUACCUACCUCUCCAUCUCCAAGCCUACCUCAUACUGCAUGUUUGUAUUGCUGCUGAACUGCAAUUAAAGAGAGACUCAAACCAGAAAA